GAUGAACGCUGGCGGCGUGCCUAAUACAUGCAAGUCGAGCGAACAGACGAGGAGCUUGCUCCUCUGACGUUAGCGGCGGACGGGUGAGUAACACGUGGAUAACCUACCUAUAAGACUGGGAUAACUUCGGGAAACCGGAGCUAAUACCGGAUAAUAUAUUGAACCGCAUGGUUCAAUAGUGAAAGACGGUUUUGCUGUCACUUAUAGAUGGAUCCGCGCCGCAUUAGCUAGUUGGUAAGGUAACGGCUUACCAAGGCAACGAUGCGUAGCCGACCUGAGAGGGUGAUAGGCCACACUGGAACUGAGACACGGUCCAGACUCCUACGGGAGGCAGCAGUAAGGAAUCUUCCGCAAUGGGCGAAAGCCUGACGGAGCAACGCCGCGUGAGUGAUGAAGGUCUUCGGAUCGUAAAACUCUGUUAUUAGGGAAGAACAAAUGUGUAAGUAACUAUGCACGUCUUGACGGUACCUAAUCAGAAAGCCACGGCUAACUACGUG
rnacentral:rRNA from 1 species